CUAGGUUUGGGCCUUUGUUUUCCUGUGAUUUCUGGAACUCACUCAUGUAUUGCUGUCGCUGGGCUGUGUCUGAGAGGGCAGUUGUGGCCUUUGAAUUGAAAGCUGGGGAGAGGGAUUGCAUCUCCACUGCUUUGUGAUCUUGAGAGAGAUGUUGGCUAUCAUCCCUCCCAGUUAGAUUAAGGGGAAUCUAAUGCUUAUGUAGGGAUGGUGAUACGAUGUCAGCUGAGUGCUUGGGGAUCAUUAAAGGUCUGUAAUAGUAACAUACUGGUUCAGCUUCUGGAUCUAGUAAAGAAAGGAUUGUGUAACUAGGGGUGAGUUUUCAGAUGUCAGAUUGGCUUCUACAUUUCUGGGAUGAGACAGAGAGGCUAGGCCUCUAAACUGUGUGUCCCCUGGGCAGAGCCAGUAAUCCAACUUCCUCCUUUCCCCUCCCCAAGGAUGGUAUAAAACUGUCAGCAAGCAGAUUGUCAAAUGAUACUGAUUCUUUUAUUGCAGAGACCCCCCUGGCAAUGUUGGUGGUAGGCCUGGGUGGGGGCAGCCUCCCCCUGUUGUCCACGAUCAUUUCCCGAAGUCCUGCAUUGAUGCUGUGGAGAUCGACCCCUCCAUGUUGGACGUGGCCACUAGUGGUUUGGCUUCUCCCAGAGCGAGCGGAUGAAGGUCCAUAUUGCAGGUGGCCUGGACUAUAUUACCAGCCUGGCGGGACGAGAAGCUCUGUGAUCCUUUUGCCACUUGAUAUGGAGGCUGAGGAUGGUGCUUCCCGGAGCCUGAGCCCCUCAGUGAGAAGUCAGUCAGGUUGGUUCAGUCUUAAGUGGACCUGGCGAGCUCAGGCCACCCACCCCUCCUGGUCUGCCCAUUCCAUCGCUGAUAUUCUGGUUCUCACUGGAUUAGGGCAUCUCCCAGGAAAGGUGUGGCAAAGCAUGAUGCCUGGGGUGAGUACCUUGGUGCUGGGGGGGACAGUUGGUGCAGAGAUUUUAAUUGCAAAUUGAAUUAAGGAUAUCAAAGCUUCAGAGAUUACCUCUGGGUGAGGCCAGUGUGGGGUCCCAGGCCCAACACAGCUAGUGCAUGUGAAACAUUGAAAAGUGCCCUAGGCUCAUGGUAGGCUGUCAGUGUGUGACAUGUUGCUGUAUUGACAGCCGGUUGAUGAGUUUUGAAUAGUCUGGCAGUCACCUCUAACAACCACCUUCCAGAUCAUUGGAGGGUUCCUACAAAUGUGGGCAGUGGUUGUUCUUGGACUUUGAUAAGCUGACAUGUUCUGCUCUCUUAAGAAACCCAAACAAGAUCUGUGCUAUGCCCGUUAUGGGCAUGCAUUAGUCCGAAGUCAGUAUUUAUGAAUUCUUGAAUAAUUGGUAUCAUAGUCUCAAAGUUUGCUAAAAGUCAGUAACAUUGUAGGCUUAAGCCUUGUAAAAACUUUUCAUUAUAGCAAAGGCACAUCCAAUGCAUCAUCAGUUCUUUCUCAUUUAGCAAAAUCUUUCUUGAGCCAGCUAUUGUUUGAGGACUAGAAAAGAUACACUAACUAAUUUGAGAACAUUUUCUCCCAUAGCCAUUUGCAGAGUCAGCCCUUAAAGGCUUAGGCAGCUGCUUUGCUGCCUAGCAGUAGUUCUUAACUUUGCCUGAUUUGGUAAUUACUUGGGAGUUGAAGGAAAAUACCAGAGGCUUCCUAUCUCCUCUCUGACCUGUUCCUCCACGCCAGGGUUUUUCACUCAGGUGGUCAGGAAUGGAGCCCAGAUUCUCAAAGUAUUUUGAAUAUUCCCAGGUGACUAAUGUUCUGCCUGGAUUGAAAAUUACUGAUAUAAAUGGACUGUUGACCAAGUAGUAAUCAUGCUAGCAUGGACCCUAUGAAUGUGUGUGCCUUUGGAAGGUGCUUUUAUUUAUUUUUUCAAUUAAUUUUUUAAGAUUUCAUUUAUUUAUUCAUGAGAGUACACACACACAGAGAAAGAGAAAGGCAGAGACAGGCAGAGGGAGAAGCAGGCUACAUUCAGGGAGGCCCGACGUGGGAAUCGAUCCCAGUUCUCCAGCAUCAGGCCCUGGGCCGAAGGCGGUGCAAACCGCUGAGCCACCUGGGCUGCCCCUGGAAGGUGCUUUUAAAUGCGGAGGAAAAGAUCAGAUAAAGGCCCUGUCUUUCAUGUGAGGCGCUCACAGCAGAACCCUGAUUGACCACGACUUUCCUGAACAGCGUACUUCGUGUCCUUAUAGGCAAACGACAGUCUCCAUGUCAUCCUUCUGACUUAGCCACCUGUGGCCACCACAGGUCACAGGAAAUAUGGGGAGUAGGAAUGUAAAUGGUGGUAGACAAAGACUUGUUUGCUUCUCUUUCCCAGCACAGUCCUGCUACAGUGUCAUCAUGUUUGAUGUAGACAUAAGGACCUACACUGGGCGUGAGUUGUCACCACCAGCUUUUGUGGACCAGCCUUUCCUGCAGAAGGUCAAAAGCUCUUGACUCCGGAAGGUAGGAUGUACAAAAGGGUNNNNNNNNNNNNNNNNNNNNNNNNNUGUUUCUUAUUAAAAUUUUAGGAGAAGCCUUCAAGCACUUUU
rnacentral:lncRNA from 1 species